rnacentral:rRNA from 1 species
AGUGAACGCUGGCGGUAGGCCUAGCACAUGCAAGUCGAACGGCAGCACAGUAAGAGCUUGCUCUUACGGGUGGCGAGUGGCGGACGGGUGAGGAAUACAUCGGAAUCUACUUUUUCGUGGGGGAUAACGUAGGGAAACUUACGCUAUACCGCAUACGACCUACGGGUGAAAGCAGGGGAUCUUCGGACCUUGCGCGAUUGAAUGAGCCGAUGUCGGAUUAGCUAGUUGGCGGGGUAAAGGCCCACCAAGGCGACGAUCCGUAGCUGGUCUGAGAGGAUGAUCAGCCACACUGGAACUGAGACACGGUCCAGACUCCUACGGGAGGCAGCAGUGGGGAAUAUUGGACAAUGGGCGCAAGCCUGAUCCAGCCAUACCGCGUGGGUGAAGAAGGCCUUCGGGUUGUAAAGCCCUUUUGUUGGGAAAGAAAAGCAGCAGGUUAAUACCCCGCUGUUCUGACGGUACCCAAAGAAUAAGCACCGGCUAACUUCGUG